GAUGAACGCUGGCGGCGUGCCUAAUACAUGCAAGUCGAGCGAACAGACGAGGAGCUUGCUCCUUUGACGUUAGCGGCGGACGGGUGAGUAACACGUGGAUAACCUACCUAUAAGACUGGGAUAACUUCGGGAAACCGGAGCUAAUACCGGAUAAUAUAUUGAACCGCAUGGUUCAAUAGUGAAAGAUGGUUUUGCUAUCACUUAUAGAUGGAUCCGCGCCGUAUUAGCUAGUUGGUAAGGUAACGGCUUACCAAGGCGACGAUCCGUAGCCGACCUGAGAGGGUGAUCGGCCACACUGGAACUGAGACACGGUCCAGACUCCUACGGGAGGCAGCAGUAGGGAAUCUUCCGCAAUGGGCGAAAGCCUGACGGAGCAACGCCGCGUGAGUGAUGAAGGGCUUCGGAUCGUAAAACUCUGUUAUUAGGGAAGAACAAAUGUGUAAGUAACUGUGCACGUCUUGACGGUACCUAAUCAGAAAGCCACGGCUAACUACGUG
rnacentral:rRNA from 1 species